CAGUCGAGCGGAACGAGUUAUCUGACCUUCGGGGGACGAUACGGCGUCGAGCGGCGGACGGGUGAGUAAUGCCUACGAAAUUGCCCUGAUGUGGGGGAUAACCAUUGGAAACGAUGGCUAAUACCGCAUGAUGCCUACGGGCCAAAGAGGGGGACCUUCGGGCCUCUCGCGUCAGGAUAUGCCUAGGUGGGAUUAGCUAGUUGGUGAGGUAAGGGCUCACCAAGGCGACUAUCCCUAGCUGGUCUGAGAGGAUGAUCAGCCACACUGGAACUGAAACACGGUCCAGACUCCUACGGGAGGCAGCAUUGGGGAAUAUUGCACAAUGGGCGCAAGCCUGAUGCAGCCAUGCCGCGUGUGUGAAGAAGGCCUUCGGGUUGUAAAGCACUUUCAGUCGUGAGGAAGGUAGUGUUGUUAAUAGCUGCAUUAUUUGACGUUAGCGACAGAAGAAGCACCGGCUAACUCC
rnacentral:rRNA from 1 species